CUCUGUCAGCCCCGGCUUGGAUCUCCUGUAGUUCGGGCUCCGCACCAGGCCACCUGCCAGAAGCUUCUCUGUAAGCCAGGGCCCACCCGACCUAUUCCUGUCCUGCCGUGGCUCUCAGCACACCUUACCGGGUGCUCGUUUACUCUUACGUCUUCUUCACUGGACUGGAAGCACCUUAGAGGCAGAGGUGCUGUCUGUUCCACGUUGCACGCGUCUCCCCGAACAACGACCAGCUCAUAGCUGGCACUCAGGGAGUGUCUGUUGGCCGAAUGGACCCGGCUCCUUUUCCCCAAGGCUCAGCCAGAUUUGGUUCCCAGAGAGCACUCGAGUCUAGAAUCCAGAGAAUCAUCAUCCCAUAUCCUUGGCUCUCACUGAUGCUCAGUUUAUGUUUUGCAGGAGAAUUUAAAACCUGCACCAUUCUCUUCAGUGACGUGGUGACAUUUACUAACAUCUGUGCUGCCUGCCAACCUAUCCAGAUAGUGACCAUGCUGAAUUCCAUGUAUUCCAAGUUUGACAGAUUAACCAGCGUCCACGAGGUCUACAAAGUGGAAACUAUAGGAGAUGCCUACAUGGUGGUAGGGGGCGUACCAGUGCCCAUUGGGAGUCAUGCUCAAAGAGUGGCUAACUUUGCUCUGGGGAUGAGAAUUUCUGCAAAAGAAGUGAUGAAUCCUGUUACUGGAGAGCCCAUCCAGGUAGAGAGAAACUGAGUACUUUGUUUGAUAUCGACCAUCCCACACACUACAAAGUAGAAUUCUGUUUAUUAGUCUGCUCAUGUGGCUGCUGGGCAUGUUACAGUAGGUACGAUGGGUAACGUCUCCCAACUCUUGUCUUCUCUUGAAUAUGUUUUAAGUAAUAGAAAUAUUAGCAAAGAUAUCAUCGUCCCAACUUUUCUUAAAUUUCAGGGGAGGCUUUGGAGCGUGGGAUUUUCAUGUGAUUUACCACGAGCGUCUUUCUCGAUAGCUUGGGACGGUGCUGAGCAAGCCUCUCCACUUGCUUUGCAGGGCUCGAUCCGUCUUGGUAUCUGGCUCAUUCGUAACGCCUGCUUUUUUAUUUGAGCAUCCAACCUAACAAGUGGCUCACCCCCGCCCACCCCUGGGGAAACUGUGUACUCAGCUUGUCCUCUCCCAGGUCAAGUCAGGCUGAGGCGGGAAACUGCUUCCAGCCAGCAGCUCGGACACCACGAUGCCAUGAGAGAUUUAGAACAGCUUUCCUCCCACCACGUGGCCCUGAGUGAGACGUCUGCCCACCUUUCUCACAGGAACAUGCUCUUCCAGGCAUGGACAUUUGUUCACACUAUAAAAGAUGGACAAUUUUGGAGAUGAAAAGCAGGUGUCGUCUUCUGUCUGCUCAGCAGAUCCUUGGCGCCCUGAGAUGCCUUAGAGCAGGGCUUCUGCAUUUUAAAAUGUAAUCCCUUCCCUGAUCCUGACAGUCAGGUCUUCAAAAUAAACUACACAGCCAACCGAAACUCAAUAAAGACAAGUAUAAGACAGAAUCGGAUUUUUCUAAAUUAUGACCCUUAUGUAGGAGAUUCUGAAGAUGUGUUCAGCUCACCCUCACCACAAGUCAGACACUGAGAAAUGCUGCAGGUUCUGGUUCUGGUGUGCACUGCGUGCUUCUGAGUAAAAGCCGGCUUUACGUAGUUGCAGGAACUACACAUCCACAAUAUUUGGUCCAUUGGAAACACGCAGAUACAUCCGUUGAAUAAAAGCCCCAGGAUCAUAAAUAAAAAAUCAAGAUGGGAGGGAAUGAGAUAAGAAGGUCAGAUAAGAGAUAUGUGUUUCAGUUAAAGGGCUCUAAUAUAAGCCAUUAAAGAAAAAAAGAAUUGAAUAUAUACCGUGUGUAAAGUGUGUGUGUGUGUGUGUGUGUGCGCGCGUGUGAGUGUGUGUAAAACGCAUAGCUAUAGAGAUGACAGUAAUGUCAUACCAGUAAGAAUGAAAUUAAACAAUGAAUUCCUGGAAACUAUCCUGGUGGAUUUUACCCAGAAGAAAGCAGGAAAAGAUGUUAUCAAGUUUAAGAUAAGAAUAGGGACAUAGGAGCAUCAUUAAAUAUCCUCCAGAAACAACCUACCGUGUGGGUUUAUUUAAGGAAGUAGGGAAAAGGACUUGAAACAUUUCACUCUCUUAGAAGAACUGUGCUGCCAUUUCAACAAUUUUUAAAUUAGUACUCUUUGAGAUCUUCUACUAUUUUAUUCACAUUUCCUUCAAUGCACAUGUACUGAGGUCCUACUCUGCAUGAGACAGUAUUCUCGGUGUUUGACAGGCUCAUUUUCCUAGAGGAAUGCAUCUUCUUAUUUCAGGGAGAAGAAAAUCUAGCCUGAAAAGAUAACUAAGUCUGGUUAGGAUGUAGAAAGCUGCAAUAGGCUGCUCUUCCCAUACUAGUCAUUCAAAAAACUUAGUGAGCAAAGAAAUAGAAAUCAACUGAUUCCAGAAGGCAACCAGCCCUUUCAAAGAGGACACCCAUAGUUAUGUUCAUGUCUAGUAGAGCUGCAGGUGAGGGUGAGAAGAAACCAGUCUGAAUUUUAGUGAACUUUAAUGGCCACACGGAGGCCAGAAUGAUAGGUUAGAAUCCCAAAGAUCCUGUCUUUCGUCAGUUCUAGCCACAGAAUCUGUACCCAUCUACCAACUCUCCCACAGGCCUUCACCAAGUACAUGUGGUUAUUCAGUCAAAGGAUGGGGUUAGGAGGAGAACUGAGAGAAACCCCCAGUCCCUGAGGCAUGUAAGGCACAUUCUCCAAAUGCAAGUCAAUGGCCCAUGAAAAGGUAGGGUUAGAGUCAGAGAACAGACAGAAAUCCCUGUGAGGUAUUCUCGGCCUUUACCAAGUGCACUACAAUGACACUUUGAAGUCUAAGGGCAGAGAAGAAUGGUGAAGAGAAAUCUCCCAAUGUGCAGAGAGCCAGCAUGGGACUAAAGAGCAAAGAGACCCCCAAACACCUCACCUCACAAUUAGGCUGUAAAUCAGAAAGAGAUCUUCCACAAUUUAGAAAGCCGGACACUUACUGUAAAGUAUAAGAGGGUUCUCAGAUCCUUGCUGGUGCUCACAUCCCGAGCCCUGAUGGCGAUAAAAUCCUGAUCUAGCCUUCUUAAUAUAUGAAAUCAUAUAUUGCAGGGAAUCUAGCAGUAUCUUGGCAAAAGAAGCCCAGACUCAAUU